UGUCAAUUGUACAUGUGUAUAUAUACGGUCAGCGAGUGAAAUGAUUGGUUGAGAGUGUCACUUUGACACUGCAUGACCCCGCGCAUACCCGUGCACGUGCAAAGCCUUGCUGGACCCUGUCCAUGCAGGUAAGCCAAACCACACCACGCUAUAAGACCAGCAAGGAUAGACGUCCCGUAAAAACCUGUGUGCCUUACAGCCACAGUGUUAAAAAGGUUGCUGUCACCGUUCUGUUGGUACUGUUUUUUUAAACGUCGUAUAUAUAAUAAAAUGUUUUUAACGUCGUAUAUACAUGUAUAAUAAAAUGUUUUCGUAAAGAUAACCGUCUUGGAGCCUUUAUUAACAGCACUUUGAAUCAUAAACCCACACAUUGAAGCUUCGUUAUACAAAGAAAUGUCGUAUAGUCUCGUGACAUGUAUACAAUAUACAAUACAACACAAUUACAAUUGCACAAGAAAUACUUUAAACUUAGAUCUUUUAUUUUUAUCCGACAGGAAUAUGUACAGUGAUCUAGUUUGGAAUGUAUAAUUGUAGAAUUCGACAUACCGAGUCAUAGAUAAAAAAUUAAAGGUACUCGUCGCCAAUACCUUGAAACACAAGGGGCAAAUUCUUUCAUUAUGUGAUAUACUAGCCCAAAUUCCCGUUUGUAGAUCCAACCAAUCAUACGAAUGACAAAUAGACCCAUAUCUACUACGUGAUUACUAUACAUUGACACGCGUGUCUUGUACUUCAUAGGACCGAUUAAAAUCAUUAAAUGGAGGUACUGAGAUCUCUCUGGAUCUCCUGUCUUCCUCCGAUGGGUGAAAUAUAAAAAAAAUCAGGCCAGAAUGAUCUAGGUUUGGUAUAUGAUCAUGACACACGCAUUACCUCAACUGACUCAACUGAGGGCUAUUUGAAAAUAAACUCUUUGAUAAAGUGUUGGAUAAGCCUAACAUCAAUCAGAUUAUCAAUAUACAUUGCAUUGCUAUCAGAAAAUAAAUCGCAUUUCAAAACUGAAAUCUCUGAAUUUGCUCCGACUGGCGAAGCAAUGUCGAAGUGUUUGAAAUAGAAUGCCAUAUUCAGUCACAGACAUGGGCGUUCAAAACAUCUGUGGGGUCCGUGCGCUGUAUUGAAAGUUGGACAAGUAUCAUCCAGGAGCGAUAUAGAAACUUGUUCUUACCAGACUUCGUUUUCAUUCACUUCCGUGGCUUACUGUGCCAGCCCCGGGGUGGGGGUUGUACACGGUGACUACAAUAUACGUGAUCUAAAUAUAUAGAUCUAAACAUUUGUUUGAAGUCAGAGUUACAAAGCAUACGUUUUGGGUAACGGUGCUAAACCCAAUACUGAUAUGUUGUCGCCGACGACGGAAAAGUGACGUCAAAGUCUUUUUUGUGACAUUAAAAAACUUAAACCUGUAUACCGAAUAGCAACGACAAAUGGAUGAAUUGGUGAAAUUGAUGAAAUAUAGAAUACAAAUAAUAUACAAUGCAAAUUUAAACACACUGAAUACAAAUGGGAAAUAUACAAUAUAAAUGAAAACACAUUGAGUUUAAAUACUAAAUUACUGAAUAAUGCAACGGUUGACAAGCUUAGUGGCUUAUAGUUUUAAAAUAGAAUGAUUUUUUGCUAUUAAAACUGCGAUUUCCCCUCGAUGAAGGACAGUUUGUGCUCCUUGUAAUCGUUAUUGGAGGUUAUUUCCCCUCGAGGUGCCCCAAGCGUCCAAUACUGCACGGGUUUUCACAGAGCCAAGUCAGUAUUCCCGCCACCGUCAAGCGAGAAGGACCUAUCGUUUCGGUAAGAUACUUUGAUCGACAUUUUCUCUGUUAAACAUGUCUAUUAGCCAUUAAUUAACUGAAUUCACACAUUGUUAUCCUUCAUUUCAAUAAGUUGUUUUCUCAAAGCGCAUGAAUGCCGAGUUGUUGAAUAUGUGUGUUCCCGGCACUUGUCUUAAGUGUCUACAUAUUUUCCCUAUAUGACCCAUUCUAUUGACCAAGCUUAACUCGUAUCAAACGAAAAAAGCACGUAGGCCUGUUGACGCCUAGUACGAUAGACUUUAAUUAUUUGAAGAAAAAAAAACAAAAAUUUAUAUUUUCCCGCCAAAAAAAAAAAAUCUGCCGAAAGCGUGCAACUGUCGAAAUAGCAACUUGAAAAUAUGAUGAAUCGUCUUAAUUCACAGGCGUUUGAAGUUCUGACUGUCAAUUGAGAUAUAAUACCAUAUAAAAAAUAAGGGUAUUGGCCAACUUGGAGGCUCAAGCGUGACUGCACAAAAAAUAGCAGCAUUGAAUGUCAUGCGCAUGCGUAGAGAAACCUAUAGCUACAAAUGUAGUUACAUAUUAGAAUCACACUGUGGAAAACCACCAACUUUCGUAUAAUGCACAAACUUGACUGUCAAACCUCAAUUGUGGUAUAGUUUUGUUACUUAAAAAAAAGUGAAAAAGCCAAAAAUCACAAUGAAAAUCGAGCUUAUAAAUACUCGAAGCAGACUGUUAACAUGUUUUGUUAACAGCGAUAUAUAUCUGUAUACUGUAUUUGACCUAAUAAGGGCACCCCUACCUUUUUCAAGGAAAUAACUCUUUCGACUGAGUGUCAAAAUGGUGUUCAAAAAUAACAAUUCAUGUGAAAAAUUUUGCUACUUUGUGUUCAAUUUUCUUCAGCAAAUUAAGUAACAUUAAUACAAGUUUUCGCCACGUUUUGUGUAUUUCUACAGAUGACAUGUCGGUGCAAAGAGCAACCAAACACACAAAUAAUAACUUCCCAUCUUUAUUUGAAGUAAAAGUAUUCUUGUUGAUAAAUAACCUGUUCAGGACAGAAAGCUAGUAAAAAUACAUUGUAAAUCAAUUAUUGGGUCAAAGAAAACGUCUGAUAUGAUCUGGGAAAUCACCUGUGUCUAUAAAUAGAAAACAAAGAAUUCCAUUUGAACAUGAAUGGUGGAACACGUUCUCUGGUCUAAAGAUCAGCUGUCAUGGUUUACAAGUUUACAGGAAUAUUCAAGUCCAUGACGGGGCGGAAGUCUGUCAAUGGUACUGGAUGGACAUUAGGCCCUGCCGUCCUGAGGCCAAUGUCAAAGCCAACUGACCCCAGACCAUCAGGACUGUCCACAGGCAAAAGGACGAGAUCCUGGUCAGGAUAGGUGGUACUCCUAGCUCUG